GAUGGCACUGUAUCUCUUGACAGCAAAGUGGAAAACAUAGAGGUCACAGCAAUAGAAAAAGAGGAAUAUAUAGGGCAAGAUGUGUCAAACAAUGAUACAAGUGAUGCUGAUGACAGUUUUGAUGACAUGCUUACAGAGGAAGUGGAAGACAAGCAAUGGCUUCUGAAAGUAAAAUUGGUAAUGACCAGCAAACACACAGAGAGACUAGAGGCCAAAGUGAGAAACAUAAAAUUAUAUGGAUCUUCAUUUCAUUGCCUGAAACCGAGAAGCUGGAUAAGUGAUGAGGUUAUUGAUGCAUUUUUGAGCUGUGUAGUUGAGAAAGCAGAUGGAAAGGUACAAGCCAUCUCAUCAGUAGUUUCCACUGCCAUUCUCUCAGGCAGAGCUACACAAAUGAAAGUGAAGAGUGAAUUACUUCAAAAUGAUAUAUUACUGCUUCCUUACCAUACACCAGGUCAUUGGGUUCUUGCGAUAGCCUUGAUGGAAAAAAAAGGAAUUGUUAAUAAUUGACCCCUUGUGUGAUGAGAUCAGAUAUGAAAGAACAUGCCUGAGGAAUUGGAGGUGAUUUAUUAGAUACUUACUUUCACAGUGGACACUAACUGUUCCAUUGAAAUUUUUUUAAAGGGAAUGUUACAAUAAUGGGAAUAAUGUCUUCCUAUUAGCUACAAAUGAACAUUGAAACAGCAUGUACUUGUACUGAAUGUGCUUAAUAAUGGACUUUGAGAGAACUUGUGUGAUGUGACUCUGGGCACCGACUUCACAGAAUGUGGACACACACGAAACAGUAGCAUGUUGCAUGAUUGAGAAUGUGUUAUUAUCAACAUGGGGCACAGCAACUCAGGUGACACACUGUGUAAGUGUGAGACAAUAAUAUGAAAACAAGUGUGUCUAUAUGUGAGCAGUAAGUCAUUUCAAUGACUAAGUAAAAAGCGAGAGAAUGGAUUUUUAUCUAUGUCCAGAAACCAGAGUGGGAAAUAACGGAAAGCAAAGCUCAUUUAUACAGUCUGCUAAUGUACUCUCUAACAAUUUCAGAAACUUCAUCAAACAAUUAACUAGUAAAUCCUCAUCUGAUUGGAACAGUAAAAUUGUGGAGCAUCCCAGACAAAGUGAUGGUCACAACUGUGGACCACUCAUCUUAAAGUUUGCAGAAACAUAUUUGCAGCACAAAGACAUCAGUACGGUGGAAACAACACAGAAGGCUAAUACUGCGUUUAGAAGACAUAUAGCAAAUCUUCUAAUGAAGGAGUCAGAAAGCGUGGAGGACUACUGCAUAUACUGCAACCUUAUCGACUGUGAAAAAGAAAGUGAGGAUUGCACGAUGGUCCAGUGUGAUUCUUGCAAGAGGUGGGCACAUAUACCAUGCAUUACAGAAGGAAACAAUCAAGAAAACCUGACAUAUGAGAAGAAAGAGUACAACUGCAAGACAUGUGCAUAGUUCACUUCAUUAACAAAAAGAAAAAAGGCAAUAAAGAAAACCCAUUGUUUAACUGCCUCUUGUUCAAAACAUAAUGCAACCCAAAGAAAUAUAUUUCUAUGUAUACAUCAGAUUAUAAUAAAUGUUCUUGAUGUUAAAUAAAUUAUUCUCUGUAUUUCUGUCCAUAUAUAUAAUGCAAACUAUAAAAUUUUAAAAGUAAUUUUAAAAAAUGAAAGUGGUGUCAUCAUAGGAGUGCUCUAUACUCCGAAACCUAACCUCCCUUUUCAUGUAUUCAUACACAAGAAAGCGAAAGAGCGUGCCUCGAUCACCCAAUAGGUCAAUUUGGCCCAUUAGCCAGGAGGAAGCAGAUCCUGA